GACAAACGCUGGCGGCGUGCUUAACACAUGCAAGUCGAACGGAAAGGCCCUGCUUGCAGGGUACUCGAGUGGCGAACGGGUGAGUAACACGUGGGUGAUCUGCCCUUCACUUCGGGAUAAGCUGGGGAAACUGGUUCUAAUACCGGAUAGGUGCCAUCUUUAGUUUGGUGGUUGGAAAGUUUUUUCGGUGUAGGAUGAGCUCGCGGCCUAUCAGCUUGUUGGUGUGGUAAUGGCCUACCAAGGCGGCGACGGGUAGCCGGCCUGAGAGGGUGUACGGCCACAUUGGGACUGAGAUACGGCGCAGACUCCUACGGGAGGCAGCAAUGGGGAAGAUUGCACAAUGGGCGCAAGCCUGAGGCAGCGACGCCGCGUGGGGGAUGAAGGACUUCGGGUUGUAAACUCCUUUCGCUAGGGACGAAGCUUUUUUGUGACGGUACCUAGAUAAGAAGCACCGGCUAACUACGUG
rnacentral:rRNA from 1 species